rnacentral:rRNA from 1 species
AUUGAACGCUGGCGGCAUGCCUUACACAUGCAAGUCGAACGGCAGCGGGGACUUCGGUCCGCCGGCGAGUGGCGAACGGGUGAGUAAUGUAUCGGAACGUACCAUUGAGUGGGGGAUAACGUAGCGAAAGUUACGCUAAUACCGCAUAUUCUCUCCGGAGGAAAGCAGGGGACCGCAAGGCCUUGCGCUCUUUGAGCGGCCGAUAUCAGAUUAGCUAGUUGGUGAGGUAAAGGCUCACCAAGGCGACGAUCUGUAGCGGGUCUGAGAGGAUGAUCCGCCACACUGGAACGUAGACACGGUCCAGACUCCUACGGGAGGCAGCAGUGGGGAAUUUUGGACAAUGGGGGCAACCCUGAUUCAGCCAUGCCGCGUGAGUGAAGAAGGCCUUCGGGUUGUAAAGCUCUUUCGGCCGGGAAAAAAUCGCAUGGGCUAAUACCCUGUGUGGAUGAUGGUACCGGAAUAAGAAGCACCGGCUAACUACGUGCCAGCCGCCGCGGUAACAC